rnacentral:rRNA from 1 species
GAUCAUGGCUCAGGACGAACGCUGGCGGCGUGCCUAAUACAUGCAAGUCGAACGAACCGCGACUGAGUGCUUGCACUUGGUCAAGGUGAGUGGCGAACGGGUGAGUAACACGUGGGUAACCUACCUCAUAGUGGGGGAUAACAGUCGGAAACGACUGCUAAUACCGCAUAGGACAUGGGAUCACAUGAUUCUGUGAGGAAAGGUAGCGCAAGCUAUCGCUAAGAGAUGG